rnacentral:SRP_RNA from 1 species
GCCAGGCGUGGUGGCGCACGGCUGUAGUCCCAGCUACUUAGGAGGCUGAGGUGGGAGGAUCUCUUGAGCCCAGGAGGUCUAGGCUGUAGUAAUGCCAUGAUCACACCACUGCACUGCAGCCUGGGCUACACAGUGAGACCCUGUCUCAA